GUUUGCACGAAAUACGUUCAAAUAAACGUAGUUCAUCGGUGGCCAAAAAGUCAGAUAGCCCGUAUACGUCUGUUAAAUGUAAGCACAGGCGUAAUUUGCGGGUGGGACAUGUCCCCACCACUUUUUGCCAGUGUCGAUAUUGUCCCCACCAGUGGCGAGCCGAAAGUCCGAGGCGGGGGCACCUCGCAAUAUUAGAUAAUUCCGUUUUAAACCAAGAAGUCGAGCCAAUGGAUAUCACACAAGCAACGUGCAAACUUUGCGCAAGAGUUAUAGGGGUGAAAAAGUCAGUAUUCACUACAGAAAGUGAAAGUAAAAAGGGACGGAGCUGUCGGCAUCUGACGCUGAUUUAGCGGAGCCUCAGAGACGCCUGCCUCUGCCAUCCAGCAUUACCACCACGCUCUGAAGGGAGGAUGUGAUCUCAUGCUUUCAAAGCUAACUUGCUAUUGCUAGCCUCUCAACAAUUGCCUACCCUAUCUUUUAAUAGCUUUUCAUCUAGAAAGCAUCUGUUGUCUACAAACAUCUGAUAAAUAUUUAUUUUAUUUUAUAGACAUUCGAACACAGGCCCAAUGGGUCUUUGUGUUCUGAAUAAACACAGAGUUUUAGUCAUUUUGUCAAAUGUUGAGACAAUUAUCAACUUUUAAAAAACGACUAAAUUAAGAGUUGCAAUAAUGACUUUACAACAUUUUUACACAUUCCCAUCCCAUCGCUUUCUUUUCAUAUUAUGAACGAGAAUUUCUUACAUGAACCAAACUGAGGCCAACUACCCCACCCCGUAAAAAUAACACUAAGUUACAGAAACCGCAAUAGCAACAGUACAGAUACCAUCAUCAGACCCGACAGAAGACUCAAGUCACUCAAGUGACACUAUGACAGCUUCAGAUGAAAGCCCUGCUAGGGAAGUAAGAAGCUUGAACUUUGCUGGAGCCUAAGUCUGCAGUCCCCCUUGGUGUUUGGAACAUGCGGAACAUGUACAAGACAUCCAAAACAGCACAGGUCAUCAAAGAAAUGGACAGAUAUAAUCUGGACAUACUGAGUGUAAGCAGAUGGACUGGUUCAGGUCGCAAGGUAGCAAGUGAAGGCUCAACCAUCCUCUUCUCUGGCAAAGACGACCUUCAUUCAAGUGGUGUAGCCCUAAUUAUAAAGAAGUAUAGCUAAAUGUCUGCUAGAGUGGGAACCCAUCAGUGAUUGUUUAAUCAGAGCAAGAUUCAACUCCAAGUAGCCUACUUUAAACUGACCAUACCAGUGCUUUGCUCCUACCAAUGAGGCAACAGAUGAGGACAAAGAUGACUGGUAUGAGCAAUUACAAUAGGCUGUCAAUAAUGUUCCACUGCAUGAUCUGCUCUUGAUGAUAGGAGACAUGAAUGCCAAAGUAUGCAGUGACAAUACCAACUGUGAGAAGGCUACAAAAAAUGUUGUGCACACAACCAUUCGAAAUGGGGUCUUGCACACUCAUUGAGCAUGACCGCCCACAUCGUGAUGACGUAAUCUUUUCGCUUCUGUGGACAUGGCAAGUAUAAACCAGACUUAAAGCUCAGUAGGCAAUUAAAUGCUACUGCGCUGAACUUCUUUUUUGCCUCUAACUCAAUCAUAGGCGAGUGAAAUUGUACAAUUUACUAGCCAUUGGCUAAUUAAAAACACUUUUUAGUCACCUAGCCUGAAAUUUGGUCGCAUAUCGGCUUUAACAAGCUGAAGAGAGCACACGUCACACGCCCCCUCCAGAAGCUUGCAUUCUGCUAGUAAACGGUGCCUUGUGGUGCCAUCCAAAAAAUCACUUUCACAAACCUUUACCUGGACUGUUCCCUGCAGGUGGAAUGAUCUGCCUAACUCAACCUGAGCAGCUGAGUCUUUAGCCAUUCUCAAGAAACGCAUCUUUUUCAUAAACACUGACCCGUUAAUACUAACACUUACUAUUCUAUUAUAUUUCUAUUUUAUCUAUUUUUUAUUUCUUUAUAUAUAUAUAUAUAUAUAUAAAACUUGAUAUGUGUAGGCUACUGUGCUAGACUAACUGGGACUUGUCACAGCACUUGCAUAUUGUUGCCCUAGUUGUUGAUUUGUUUGCUUCUAUUGUUCUCCUCUUCUAUACCAUUUGUAAGUCGCUUUGGAUAAAAGCUUCUGCUAAAUUAUUAAAUGUAAAUGUAUAUAUUUCA